CGUAGCUCAACUGGAUAGAGCAGCUGCCUUCUAAGCAGCAGGUCGGGGGUUCGAGUCCCUCCGG
rnacentral:tRNA from 1 species